rnacentral:lncRNA from 1 species
AAAACACAUAUAACAAAGAUCAUCCCAAUAACACCUUCAACCAGUUUUCCAACAUAACAACAUUUUUCUCUAAACAAGUUAUUUUCAUCUUUUCAUCAUCAGCUUCUUCCAUCUUCAUCACACUUUGUUCCAUCAUCAUCAAACUUCCACCUGCUUGUUCAUUUCUUCAACUUCAACUCCUUUCUUCUACAUACAACACAUUUCCUUCUUCUAUUGCUUCUUCACUGCACCAGUGAAAGAAGUUGCAACCAACGAAAUCUUCGCCCCCACCCUAUUGAACGAUAAUAGGCACAUUCCUUCAUCAAAACCCACAAAUAAAAAAACAUUUAUGCUUAUAUUAAACUGACCUUGAAGUUAGGGCAAACCUAGAAUUUUUUGCCCUUUUUUUAGGGUUUUCGCAAUUCGUAAAACUGCAAUGUGACCACAAAAGCAAGUGGAUUUUACACCCAACCUCCUAACACUGGCACUACUAUGUUGGAAGUUCGAACCCAAACACUUGCAAGACGAAGAUGAACGAGACAUUUCCUCAGCUGCACUGUGCUU